UUCCCUUUGAAACAUCCCUCUACUUAAGCAUCAGAAGAGCAGGAUUAUUCAGAGGCAUUAUCAAGAGAGAAGGUGAAAAUUACAUGUCUGUAAAUCUGUAGGGACGCAGCUUGUAGAAUUCUUAUUUAUUGACCUCUGUUUUUUCUUUUUUGUCUGUGCUGGUUUUGUUGCUGUUCUAGGAGUGUGUCCCUCCCUUGUGGGGAUUAUCUUGCGUGUUGUUUUACAUUUCUUAGGGCUUUUGUCUGAUGGUGGCUUAUUCAGCAGCCAUUUGGAGGCUCUACCUUGCAAAUGCUAGCUUCAAGUGUCAAACAAACACUGAGAACUAGGAGGGUUCUGCCAAUCUUGAGUUGAGACCCAGGAGUAAGAAACUUUGAAGAUAAUCACAUCAGAGAAGCUGCACUGGGAGAGAGACUUUCAAAGAUACGAAGAAUAGGUAGUCUCCGGUCUUGCAGUUCAUCAGACUGCUUUAGUAAAGUGAUGCCUCCAAGGAAAAAGAGGAGACCUGCAGCAGGAGAUGAUUUAUCUGCUAAGAAAAGUAGACAUGAUGGGUAU